AGCUCGGGGGCCGUUGUUGGCUCGGCGGGCGCACACCGGCCCUAGUAAUAUACAGAAAGAGGGGGGUGGGGGCGGCCCGCGCGCCCCGGUCGUGGUGCACGGUCCCCCCCCCCAUCCCCACCCGGCGGGCCCCUGGCACCGAGCUCGAGCGAUCGAUCGAUCGAUCGAUCGCCGCCGCUGCACGAUCGCUGCUGCUGCUCGAUCGCUGCUGCUGCUGCUGCCGCGCCCCGGUCGCCUGCUCGGCGUGUCGUCGUCUUAUUUAUUUAUUUAUUUAUUUUUAAUUUGCGCGGUGACAGCGGCAGCCUCGGCGGGCUGCGCGCCGGAGAAGUGGCGUCAGGGAGCGCCGGAUGAGGGGCCGGGGGACAUGCCGACCAAUUGCGCCGCGGCGGGCUGCGCCGCGACCUACGACAAGCACAUUAACGUCAGCUUCCACAGGUUUCCUUUGGAUCCCAAAAGAAGAAAAGAAUGGGUUCGCCUGGUUAGGCGCAAAAAUUUUGUGCCAGGAAAACACACUUUUCUUUGUUCAAAGCACUUUGAAGCCUCCUGUUUUGAUCUAACAGGCCAAACUCGACGACUUAAAAUGGAUGCCGUUCCAACCAUUUUUGAUUUUUGUACCCAUAUAAAGUCUAUGAAACUCAAGUCAAGGAAUCUUUUGAAGAAAAACGACAGUUUUACUCCAACUGGACCAUGUCAUUUAAAGGCGAACAGUAGUCAGCAAGUACUACUUGAACACAGUUACGCUUUUAGGAACCCUAUGGAGGCGAAAAAAAGGAUAAUUAAACUAGAAAAAGAAAUAGCAAGCUUAAGAAGAAAAAUGAAAACUUGCCUGCAAAGGGAACGCAGAGCAACUCGAAGAUGGAUCAAAGCCACGUGCUUUGUGAAGAAUCUAGAAGCAAGUAACAUGCUCCCUAAGGGCAUCUCAGAACACAUUUUACCAGCGGCCUUAAGCAGUCUUCCUUUGGAAGAUUUCAAACUUCUUGAACAAGAUCAACAAGAGAAAACCUUACCAGGUCUCUAAAUCUAAAGUAGACAAGAAGAUCUGCAUUCUCGUUUUCCUUCCCAGAGCCUGAUGCCCAUCUUCCGUUCUUAUCAUCGAUGCUACUUAACGGCAAAUGUACUAAAAUCAAGUACUUAAAGUUUUACUUGAAGGAGCAAUCACUACAUGACUUACAGAGACUUGAGUCUAAGAAAGAUGAAAAACCUGAAUGACAACUUUGAGAACGAGCGAAAGUGCCUUACUGAGGAUUAUGUUCUUAGACACUGUCUUCGGAAACACCGGUUGCAGGGUGUUUCUGCUUUGUAAACCGCUGUCAAAUAGGAAUGACCAAUGAUGUGUUCAUAUAAGGAAAACAUUCAACGCCAAAGUUGGGAUAUUACGUUCUAAAGAACAUGCAAGAAAAUCAACCUUAAUUCCUAAUGGAAAUAAAAUACAGUUCUCUAAAACAUUGUGUAUCUCUGUGAUGAAGCUAUGCAAACGCUGAUUAUUUCUAAGAUAGAAGUACGAGUUUGGUCCUCUGGCUGCCACUUGGAAAGGCCUGCCUUAUGUCACUAAGUGUUCAGUAAGAGCUCUUCCUUCGAAAGCUACGGCUCAGUAAUGUAAAGCGGACUCGGAGAAGUGAGCUGUUUAGUUCUGCUUUGAGUGUGUGAAAUUACCAUAUGACCGUGACCUGCCUGACCCUAAAGAACUAUAAGUCUUUCCUGCAAAGAAAUGGAAUGGGAUUGUUUGCCAGCUUUUGGGUUGUCUCUCUUUGUCCCCGAGUUAUCGAGCACUCUGUGGUAGGGGAUGUCUUCCCUGCAAAUGCAAUGGUAGAAGUGUCCCUUUUAGUUUUCAUGUGAUGCUUAUAACAAAUGUCUUACAGUCCUUUGGUAGAUGUGAUAAACCUUGUUAGUUAUCUUAAGUAUUGGAUGUAGUUCCUCAGAUUGGUCAUUGCCUAUCUUUUCCUAAUACUGUUUCAGAUGUCUCUGUAUCCUCUCAAAUAUCAACAGCAAACACACUGACUGCACCUACUUGAUAAAGUACGCUGGGUAACUAAUACUAACAUAACCUAUAUUCUCCAAGUGUAAGCUUAUGUGCUUCACCCAUGUACCCCAAGCGUCAUUCACUAACUAAUGUGGUCCAGUUGCAACCUACAUACAGUAUCUUCAUAUCUUAGUAUUUUUUUAAGUCAUAAGUGUACAACGUUAUAAACUACAAGCUUUUGGCAAAGUUUCUUAGUCUUCAUUCUUAUAUACAUUACAUUUAGCUUCUUUGGAGGGUUUUGUGUGCUGUGAAUUAAACCCAGGGCUUUGUGCACGCAUGCUCUACCACUUAACCAUUUCCUCAGUCUUUCUCAUUCACUAUUAUCUGACACCAUUGAAUAAACCACCACAGCAAUUGUGAUUUCCUGUGUAUCUUCUCCAUCUUACUUUCCUGAUAACAUGCUUCAAACUCUUCCUACAUGAAUGUACUAAUAAUACCUCUGUCUGUCUUUAAGAUAGCUGCGUGUCUGAACAUGGUAACGCACACCUGUUAUCUUAGCCACGAGAGAGAAGGAAGUGGAGGUAGGAGAAACGUAACUUCCGGCCAGGCUUUUGAAAACAUACGAGGAAUCUUUAAAUCCUGUUUUCAGUUUGCUGAUAGCUUUCUUAGUUGACUGUAUACCGUAAAACAAAUGGAAUGAGGCACGAGGAGCAUGGGGACAAAUGUCUCUAAUGCCUGUGCUUGGGAGGAGUGGGCAGGAGGAUCAGAAACUCAGGGUGGCCUAUGCUAUUGAGACCAUGUUUCAAAAAUAAACUAAUCAAAAUCACAAGCGCUUUCCCUCAGUUGUACCUCACAGAUCUUCUAUUGAUCCAGUGUGUCUACAGGCUACUAGCCUUUACAAGAGGGGAGAAAAAACAAACAAACAAACAAACAAAAAAAAACCCACCACAGCUGAAGGUUAGGAACCUGAUAUGAAGAGGAAUACUGGGCUGGGAGAUGUGACUUAUGUUCAGCAUCAUGCAGCCUAGGGUUGAAACUCCAACCCCCCAAAGGGGGUAAACACAACAUUGUCUGCCCUUAAGUUGCUUCAAGCUUCCUAAAAUAAAUAGUAUUUCGAAUAUGAGAUGAAAUCUAUAGAAGAAAUCGGUGUACAAUGCUUUGGUACACACUGUUGAGUUGAAACGCAAUGGAAAACAUAGGAACUUUAGACCUUCUUACAACCAAGUGAUUUUCUUUUGAGGUCAAACAGAUUUCUUCUUAGAAUGACUUCUCAAAGGAGGGUUGAUCACUAGAGUUUGGUCUGAGCUCAGUGUUGCUUGGGUGGUAAGACACUGGACCCUUUAAAAAAAACCUGAGCAAAACUGUAAUGAUAGCUUUGCUGAAGGAAAAACAGCAAUAAGUAGGUCAAAGCUAAGUACUGGAGUAUUUGAAACUUGAUAUUUUGGGUGGAAAUAACCCUAUCGACAGGUUUCUGAAAAACAUUUUUUAAAAAAUUAUCCAUUCUUCCUCUUUUUCCCACAAGAAAGUGUCUGUGUUUUCUCACCAAAGCAUUGCUCUGUCCCACUUGCACAAGAAAUGGAAAUACCUGUGGUCUACACAGCUGUAGAAUGAACACAUCUUCUCCCCUCGUGUUUUGAUCCUUUAAUAUGUGUUAAAAUGGGAAAAUCAUGUGUUUCUGAACAGCAAAUGAUAAACUUUAAAUGUAUCAAAGAUGUUUAUGAGAUCCUUGUUGAUGGUGUCGAGGUAGACUUUAUUAUGUUGUUACUUCUCGGUAUUAGAAUACGGGUAAAUUUUAAUUUUGAUAUAAUAGAGAAAUUAAUCUUUAUAUCAGGAGUGGAAUUCUUUUGAUAUUUAGACAGCUGGAUACUUUAUAAAGUUAAGGAUUUUGUAGUGUAUAUUAAACAAUAAUAUUGUACUCACAAAAAUGUAUUUGAAAUUUGUUAAUAUUAAAAUUUUUUUCCCAAGGAA